UUGAUUCGCAUUUUUCUUUUUUUUUUUUCCUUUUUUCCUUUUUACGUUUCUCUCCACUGUAUA
rnacentral:ribozyme from 14 species